rnacentral:ncRNA from 1 species
AGGGCAAAUUUACUGAAAGGUAAAGACGCAAAGCCAUAGGGUCUAAAGUGAGUCUUAGGACUUACAAUGAUAGCCGGUUGCCGA